GACGAACGCUGGCGGCGUGCUUAACACAUGCAAGUCGAACGGAAAGGCCUUUUCGGAGGUACUCGAGUGGCGAACGGGUGAGUAACACGUGGGUGAUCUUCCCUGCACGCUGGGAUAAGCCUGGGAAACUGGGUCUAAUACCGGAUAGGACCGCACUUUAGUGUGUGUGGUGGAAAGUUUUUUCGGUGUAGGAUGAGCCCGCGGCCUAUCAGCUUGUUGGUGGGGUAAUGGCCUACCAAGGCGGCGACGUGUAGCCGGACUGAGAGGUUGGUCGGCCGCCUUGGGACUGAGAUACGGCCCAGACUCCUACGGGAGGCAGCAGUGGGGAAGCUUGAACCAUGGACGCCAGCCUGAUGCAGCGACGCCGCGUGGGGGAUGACGGCCUUCGGGUUGUAAACUCCUUUCGCCAGGGACGAAGCGUUUUGUGACGGUACCUAGAGAAGAAGCACCGGCUAACUACGUG
rnacentral:rRNA from 1 species